rnacentral:rRNA from 1 species
UACAGGGGGUGCAAACGUUGCUCGGAAUCAUUGGGCGUAAAGCGCACGUAGGCGGUUCGUUAUGUCGGAUGUUAAAGCCCUUGGCUUAACCGAGGAAGUGCAUCCGAAACUGGCGAGCUAGAGUACGAAAGAGGAUCGCGGAAUUCCCGGUGUAGAGGUGAAAUUCGUAGAUAUCGGGAGGAACACCGGUGGCGAAGGCGGCGAUCUGGGUCGAUACUGACGCUGAGGUGCGAAAGCGUGGGGAGCAAACAGG